CGAUGGAGGGGGAUAACUACUGGAAACGGUAGCUAAUACCGCAUAACGUCGCAAGACCAAAGAGGGGGACCUUCGGGCCUCUUGCCAUCGGAUGUGCCCAGAUGGGAUUAGCUAGUAGGUGGGGUAACGGCUCACCUAGGCGACGAUCCCUAGCUGGUCUGAGAGGAUGACCAGCACACUGGAACUGAGACACGGUCCAG
rnacentral:rRNA from 1 species